rnacentral:rRNA from 1 species
AUGUUUUGGAGCCUCCUGCCAAUCUCUUCUUUCCCCUGGACCGAAUUAUUUUUUUCGUUUGUAGUAAGGGUAGCAAGGUCCAUCUACUGGACAUGGUCGACCCGGCCAAAACUCGCCGCUUGCACCAGUGCACGCGGUGAUCACGCUUGUGUCAUGCUAAUUGCGAGCUCUGGCUCGUUCCGGCCGCUGUGCUCGUCCUCUCCCUCGUCGUCUCGACGUCCAGCAUUGUCCAGGAGCUCCCCCGUGCUCGACUGCAUCGUCCCAUGCCCGGCCCCCCUCCUGUUUCGUCGCUGUUCGGCCGCAAACGCCAUCCCCGUGCCGCGUCCAGCCCCUGUCCUCCAUUGGAGCACUGCUCGAGCUCGCCCGUGA